AAGAGUGAGGUGAAGCUUUUAGGUGCAUGGCCAAGCCCCUUUAUGUUGAGGGUGAGAAUUGCUCUUCACCUCAAAUCUAUCAACUACGAGUUCAUUGAGGUAGAUUUAUUGGGACCCAAAAGUGAGUUGGUUCUUAAAUCCAAUCCUAUUUAUAAGAAAAUCCCAGUCCUGUUUCAUGAUGAUAACACCAUCCUUGAGUCUCAAAUCAUUCUUCAGUACAUCGAUGAAGUUUGGCCUAAUGCCCAUUCCAUUCUUCCUUCUGAUGUCGCUCAACGAGCUGAUUCUCGAUUUUGGGUUGCUUAUUUUGAUGAUAAGGUUUGUUUAUGUAACAUUGAUGAUCUUAGAUGGUGUGUCUUCAAUAAAUUUAUGCUAGGUUUGGUGGAAAUUUUUUUUUCACAUAUUUUAAGACACGAGUUAACAAUAAAUUAAUUUUAUUUGCUCAUGAUUUUUUUUCAAUAAAGGGGAGGAAGUUUAUUAUUAUUAUUAUUAUUAUUAUUAUAAAUUUACUCAUAUUUUUAAUUUCAAUUAGUUUAAAUUUGUACUAAUUAUUUUUUAUGUUAUGACAAAUUAUUUUAAUGCCUAUGAAAACUUGUGGUUAACUUUUUCUGUUAAUGACAAUAAAAGUACCAUGAAGAUCUCUGUACUAUCACUUGGAUUGUAUUUUGCACUAAAAAAAUGGGCAAACUAAUCCUUAUACAUUAGAUUAAAGAGUAAAUUGAAAUAAUUAGACAAUGACAUGUAGCAUGUGACAUGCCAAGUGUUCCUCAUACUGACAUAUACAGACCGAUUUUUAACAGCAUAAAUGCAUGAAAAUUUUCAUAUAGAAGGAUCAGUUUACUCUUUGAUUUAAUAGAUAUGGAUUAAUUCGCCCAUUUUUUUAGUAGAAAGUAAAAUGCAAUCUGACUCCUAGUACAUGAUCACUAUGAUACUUUUACCGUUAGUGACUUAUCUAUGGCUCUUUGAUCUAAUAUAUUUGAUUGAGUUGAUGUCACAUAUUAACCAAGUUUAACUCAAUUGUAAAAUUACCAAAAACCCAUUUCUUAUACAAAGUAACAAAUAUUAUUUAGAUAGUAUUUAUAUCAUUUUAUAGUUUGAUAAAUCUAAAUAUAUAUAUAUAUAUAUAGAUGAUAAAAAUUAUAAGAUUUAAACCCAAAACAUCUUAGCUUUUUCUAUAUCAAUUUUAUUGUUUUAAUCACAAUCAUAUUUAAUAUUUAUAUUAAUUUUUUAUAAAUUUGUUACAGCUCGUCCCCGCCUUGAUAAUAGCAUUGGCCGCUAAGUCAAAAGAUACAAAAAACGCAGCAAUAGCCGAACUGGAACAAGGGCUGCUGCAUUUGGAAGAAGCAGCCUCGACAAAGUUGAGCAAAGGGAAAGCUUUGUUCGGUGGGGAAAAUCUUGGGUACAUGGACAUUGCAUUGGGUCCCUUCUUGGUCUGGAUUGGGAUUAUAGAGAAGCUUAAUGGGGUCAAGCUGCUCAACGAAACCAACACCCCGUCGUUGCUUCGUUGGGCUGAUAGCUUCUUUUCUCAUGCAGUCGUGAAGACUGUUUUUCCUGAAGCUGAAAAGCUUAUAGAAUUUGCUAUGAAGCUUAUACCUGUCUUGAGAGCUAGGCCUGAGCUAAGGUUGCUGCUCGGAAUUAGUGAUUAAUCAGUGAGGAUAUUACCGAGUUCAUAAAAUUUGAAGGUUUGUAAUGUUGGGUCACUGUUGUGCUUUGAAUUUAUAGACUAAUUAAUGUACUGUUUAAUAAGCAAGGAUGUAUUAGAGGUCCAUAGUGAUUAUUUUUAAUUGUUCUUGGUCUUUUGUAUUAUUUCGAGUUGAAAUGUGAUUCAAUAUUUGAUACGUAAUAAUAAGAUAAAAUUAUUUAUAUUAUGAUUUAGGGUAUUAAUUUUUUUCGACUAAAAAAAAUUGCUCUCUAAUUCCAACCACUAGUUUCCUUUUAUCAAUAUAGGAUAAGAUGCAUUAUUCAUAUCAAAAUAAUUGAUAUAUAAGGUUUAUUAGUAAGUGUUAGUGUAGUAAUAAAACACGUUACGUUCAUUUGAGAAGAAUAUAGAUUCGAACUUAGGAGAUAAUAUUGUUGAAGUAAAUAACUAUGAACCCCGAAUAUGAAUAGUAAUUCUGAAUGGUAAAAGCACUAUGAAGAUCUUUAUAUUAAGAGUUGAAUUAUAUUUUAUCUCCACUAUUAAAAAAAUUGGUAAAUUAAUUUUUGUACAAAUUGUUCUUUCUAUUAAAAAAUUUAUCAAUUUUUACGGUUAAAAAUUAGUUCAUGUGCACUAGUAUAAAGUACACAUAGCACGCCAUAUAUUAUUUGUUUGGUUAUCUUAUCAAUUACGCCAGUUUGAAACAGUAAAAAUGAAUAAUUUAAUAAGAAAAUCAAUUCACACUUUAAUAUAAAAUAUUUUUUUAAAUAAAGUGAUAAAACCCCAGCUGUAUUUAAAAAAAAAACAGCAGCUAAUUUCAAAGUAUGGUAUGUCCUUUGGAAUAGCGUUUCUAACAAAACCUACUUUCUGCUAAAUUAUUGGGAUUGCUUGGAUUCUAAGCGAAGUCUCAUUAUUCGAUCACUGUACUUCACCAUGGAACACCACUUCACCCAACUCGACGACGGAGCCUCCGCCGACGUCAAACCGGCGUCUAAUUUCGGAGCGGCGGUUGCGACGGUGCUCCUAGCUUUGCUUUUACAAAUAUUUUGGCGUUGCUGUCGCUCAAUUUGCCGUAAUCAUGUCAAGAAAUACAAGUUUUCUUCUUCUUCCGCCGCCGCUAACAUGGACCGGUCGAUAAUCGCCGCCGUGGAGAAGAUCCUUAAAUACACGUUUAAAGACAAAAGACUCCUGAAAGAAGCCUUGACGCACUCUUCGUGCCGCGAAGACAUGUCGUACGAAAGACUGGAGUUCAUUGGGGACGCGGCGCUCGGCUUGGCUGUUGCUACCCAUUUCUUCUGUUGGGAACCGCGACUGGACCCUGACCAGCUUACGCUGCUCCGAAAAAAAAGUGUAAGCAACGAGAGACUGGCGCUUGUGGCGGCUAGGCAUGAGCUUGACCGGUUCGUCAGGAGCAAAGACACUGCUCCUCUUAACCGCAAAGUAAGCAGAAACUGUUAAUUCUCCUCCAAUUUUCAGUUUUUUUUUUCUAUGUUUAUUCACUUUUUUUUCAUUAAUACCUUUUAUUGUUUUAAAACAUAAUUUAAUAAAAUUUGUACUCCAGAAUUUGCUUUAAAGAGCAUUAAACUCCUUAAUAUCGAAUUAAUCUGAUUUUUCUAAAAUUUAUCGGAUUAAUUUGAUUUUAAAGAGAGAGAAAAAAAACAAGUCCAAAGGUUCUUGAUAGCUUACAAUAAGUUUUCUUAUCCUUAUAUAUAAAAUAUACGCCGUAAUGUGUUAGUAUUUGUUAGGCCUAUUCUCUUUAUUCAAUUCAAUUAGAUGUUAAUUUAAUGUAAAUGAACCAUAAUUAUGUAAACCUAUUUAUAAUAUAUAAUUUAAUUUAAUGUAAAAUUUUUAGAUUUGGCAGGAAAAGACUUUUAGCUGGGCACACUUUUUCGCUCAAUCAGCAAAGCGCGUCUAACUGGACGCAUUUUCUUUCUCUAUCCACGAUUUGUUUAGAGUUUCUUUUAGCUUUUUAGGGUUAGAGUUUAGAGGUUUUUUAAAGAUUUUUGUUUAGGUUUUGUAAUGGUUUUUAAAAUUUAGGGUUUAAGAUUUAUGAAAUUAUUAUUUUAGGAUUUUUUUAAAUUUUUAAUAUUUUUAUAUAUUCUUUAGAAUUUUUUUUAUGAUAUUUAUAUUUGGUGGAAAAUAUAAAUUUUAGAAUUGUUUUCAGCAGAUGUGACAGUAAAGCGCAUCCAGUUGGAAGCGUUUCUUUGUCAAAUAUGUUGAGAUGCAUUUUCCUUCUCUCCCAAAAUCAAUCUAAUCUGAUAAAUUUUGAAAAACACACCUAAUCCGAUAAUUUUUCAAAAUUUUCAGCAUUUUGGGUUAUUCACUCCGGUAGAGCUAUAUAAUUUCAAUUAAUCAAAAUGUAAUACAUUAAGCCCAUGGUAUAUAUAUCUUAUUGGCUGAAGGUUAGGGAGUACGUAAAGGCAGUUAAACAAGGAGAUGAUCAUAAAAACUUGACAGUUCGAAGUCCAGAUAUUUUGGCCGAUAUUGUUUAAACAGUUAAAGUGAUAUUAUACCAUUUAAAAAAAUAUUUCAAAAAAAUCUGUUCCUUAAUGAUUUUUAAUGAAUAUUAUUGUUUUUCAUUUUAAAUAAAUUUGUUUUUAUAAUUUUUAAUGGAUUUCAUGAAUUUUUUUAUUUUUUUUGUAUUUUUUGAUGUUUUGAAAAAAUAUUUAUUUUUACAUUUUUUUAAUGAUAAGAUGUCAUGUUAUUAUUUACUGAAUGUGCAUGAGACCUAUGCACCGAUAGUGUAUCAAAUAUUUUCUCAUAAAAUAAAUAAAAGACAAUUAGAAUUCAAGAAGAAAAAAAACUAAAAAAUAAAUAAAUUAUAAAAUAAAGCAAGUUGUUUGUUUAUGUUUUUUUUCAAAAUUGUAAUUAUAUUUAAUUUAAUUUAAUUGGAAAAGUUAUUAGAUGUAAAUGAGUUUAUAAUAUUUAAAAAUUAAGGUUUUCACACUAUUUUAUUGGUGUCUAAAAAUCAUAGAUUUUAGGAUCAUACUAUAUUAUUUAUUAAGCCACUAAUCGAGUUGGUGUCACCCUCAACCAGGUCACCAAUUCGGUCAGAAAAUUACGGAAAUGCCCAGUAAUUAAAAAAUAUUAUUCAAACAUAUUUUAGCCUUUUCAUAUUAACAAAAACCAAUUAAAAUAUGCACUAAUUAGAUUUGUAAAAUAUUAAAUUUAUCACUCAACUAAAGCGUUAUUUUAAUGUAUUCCAUAUUUUUUUUAUUUUAAUAUAUGCAAUUUAUUGUCUACAUUAAUUGUAUAAUUAGUUUCAUACCAUACGUUUCAUUAUUUAUUGUAUGCUAGUUUUUAACAAACAUUUGUAUUUUAAAUAUGUGGUUUACACAUCAUACGCAUGUGAUAAAAUUUUUAAUUUUUUACAGAUCAUUUCUAUGACUAUUAAUAAUCCACCCGAACCCUUGAAACUGAGGAUAAUAUAUUUUUAAACUCACUCAAACUUAUAUUUUUUAAAUAUUGUAAUAACAACUAUGUCAACUAAAUUGAAAGUAAAUUAUCAUUUUUGUAACAAAUAGGAAAAGAAUAUUAAUUUCAUGAUAUAAAUUUAAUUAAAUGAUGUGAUUUUUUUUUUGAAAAAUAAAAUGUAGUGUUUUCAAGACACAUGACAUGGUCAAUCUAUCUCAUUUAAUUUGUGAAUAUGUUAUUGAUUAGAUUGAAUGAAACAAUUUAAUUUUUUUUUCAAAGUUUUACAAAUAAAAUUAUAAGUAUAUGUUCGAGGAACCACAAAUAUCAAACUAUAACAAUAUGUGUCGAAACCAUUUUUAAAUUUAAAAAAACGGGGAUCGACUUUAAAAAAAAUAAAAUGGGAGUCGCCACCGAUCUUUUAUUAAGGUGUGAACGGUUCACCAUUAAAAUGAUUUUUGGUCUAUGAAUUUCGAGAAAAUAGGUUCGGGAGUCGGUUACGCACGAAGAAGGGUUAGCACCCUCGUAACGCCCAAAAUUGGUACCGAAUUGAUUGUUUAAUGUCUUAGUGCUGAGGAUUUGAAAAGAUUUUAAAAAUACGAUCAUUUUAAUGUUCAAAUUUGAAUAAACCAAAUUGAAUAACAAGAUCACUCAUUUUGAGGAAAUAAAUUGCUACACUCAGUGAGUUAGAGUGCAACAAUUCAAUCGUCAAAAUUAAGUAUUUUCAAAUUUUGAAAUGAAUUUUGAAGAGGUUGUUCGGUCAUUUAAGUCAAACGAGAAAUCAAAAUCCAGUGAGUUAGGUUUCGAUUUCUCGGAGUUCUUAAACAUCAAACAUUGCCUUUAUUUUAAAAUUGGGAUAACAGAAUGUCACAUCCAGUAAGUUAGGAUCUGACAUUUUGAAAUCUUAGAUGCUUAGUUUUAAAAUGCUAUGAUUUUAAUAAAAGAAGCACAUGGCUACCUAAUUUAUCGAGAAAAAUUGGAACCCAGUAAGUUAGGGCACAAUUCUCUCGAGAAUCUUGGAUGCCAAAUGACUUAAAAACUUAUGGUUAAACAAUUUCAAUGUUCAAAUCAACUCCAAUAUUUUAAACAAAUGAAACACAAUUGGACAAUAAUGUGCGAUAUAAAGGGGAUAACACAUAAACCCAAUUUAAUUUAUAUAUGAAAAUAAAAAAACAAACUAUUAAUCUAUCUUACAAGGUGCAUUAAACAAAAACAUGGAAAAUAAUACAUAUUGGGUAUAUAUAUAAAAUGAAAGAUUUAAUUCAAAUGGUAAUAUACAUAUAAAAGCUGAAAUAAAUAAAAUAUAAUGGAAUAGGGCUUUAAAAUACAAAUUAUUAACUCAAUGAUGUAAAAUCAAUAUAAAACAAAAUAAUUUAUUAUAUGUCAAUGAUAAAAUAUAAAAUAACAAUUAAAAAAACAUACAAAAUUAUAAUUAGAAGAAUAAGACAAAUAUAAGAUAACUUAAAAUAAUAAUACCUAAUAGCUUUAAAACAACAAUACAUAAUAAAAUUAAAACAAUUAUACAUAAUAGAUUUAAAUGAAUGUACAUAAUGAAUUUAAAAUAACAAAACCAGUUCUAUAAUGUUAAAUUUCUAAUAAUAAUAUACAAUAAAUUAAAAUUAAUAAUAAAUUUUAAAUAACAUUACGCUUUAGCAUCAAACUAUUAUUAGAAUUUAAAAUGAAUACAUCAAGAAUAAUGGAACAGCAAAUAAUUAAAUAAAGAUUAAAAAAAGUAUCCAAACAAAGUAAAGGAUUAAAUCAAAAUCAAAACAGAACUGGAAGGAGGAAAACGAAAAUAAAUCAGAAUAGAGGGCCAAAAUCGUGACGCGCGAAUAAUAUGAGGACCGAAUGGGAAAUAUUCCCCUUCCCCAAAACGCAGCGUCUUUAGCAUGGACCAAAGCAUAAUCAAGUCGAACAUAUGGGACCAAUUUAAAAAAUAAAGAAACAUCAGAUUUAAACUACGAAACAAAUCAGAGGGACUGAUGGCGCAAAUAUCCCCUCCAAGACCAAAACGCCUGGGUCUUACCACGCUCGGGUCGGGUCAUCGGGUUAUGGCCAAAAACCUUUAAACGGCAUCGUUUUAGGGCCAUUGAAACAGGCCCUAAACAGUGCCGUUUUCCGCACUAUAAAAGACCCCUCCUAACCCUAAAACCAGUCUGUUGACACACAGACACCAGCCCUCAACCCUCUGCGCCGCUUUAGCAACGAAAGCCUCCCCCUCGCCUAUUCAAUCUUGGCCUGGACGGAGGGGGAUUCGGCGACGCACAGAACCAAGUAAAGUUUCUAAACCCUUUCCCCUUUUAUUUUAUAAGUAUGCCUAUGUAUGAUUAAUAGUGAACAAAAAAAAAACAAUCAGAAAGGAAUUGAAAAGAGAAAAAAGAAGAACCUUUUCUUGGUAUUGAUUUUGUUUUUUUUUACCGUAUGCGUGAGUCCCCUUACAAAUGCUGAAAUGGCCUUUUUAUGGCCGAAAGUAACAAAAAAAAUGAAAAUUACAAAAAGUGUAUUUUCGUUUUUCUCUUAUUUUCUUUUUCUUUUUGCUGUUAUUUCUCUUUUUCGUUCCUUUUUGCUGCCUCUAUUGCGUUGCUCGUUUUUGUCCUUUGCAGGUGUCGUACGAAGCAGUGGACGUGUGCGUAUGGAGGAGAGAGGCGUGGAGGCUUGGUACGUGGAGGUGGCGCACGUGCGAGGGCAAAUUGCUGCGGCGCUGGAUGCUGCGUUGCUGCCCUAGGGUUUCUGAUUCUCUUUGGUGUUGGGUUGGGUUGAAUUAGGUUUUGGGUUAGGUAUCGGGCCACUGUAACUGGGCCAAUCGGGUUUAGUGUUCUGGUUAUAGGCUUUUGGGCCUACUUGGAUUUAGGCCUGCUAAUGUAAAAGAGACUAGACUGUGUUAUUGGGUAAUUUGGAUUGGGCUAUUUUGGGCCUACUAUUAAAAAAAGCUGAACAUUUUAUUUAUUAUAUAUAUUUCUAGGUUUUAAUACUUGGGCUCGAGCCGGGCAAAAAUGGGCUCUUACAAUAUGUAUUGUUCGAGGAAUCACAAAUUAAAAUUAAAUUUAAAUCAUUACAACACAACGGAAUAAGAACUUGUACAAUCUAGACUAAAGGCAACAAAAUAUACUAAAACUCACAUAUGAUGAUAAAAAUUAAGCCUAGAACCCGAACCCAAUAUGAUUUAAACUCGAAUUGAAAGCCCGAAACUCGUAAUUCUAUUCAUAAUCCAGUUCAGAAAUUUUGUUCGCGUAGUCUUUACUAAAACAGUCAUAACUUGAGCUCCCAAACUUAAAAUCGAGUGAUUCAAAGUGCGUUUCGAAGCUAAUAGAUAGAUCUUCGAACGCCAUGAAGAUAUCUUAACCAAGAAAUGCCUGGAUCCCAUCUAAAAAGUCGUCGAAAGUCUCAUGAUAUCCCAAAAUUGAGAAUUGACAGCUUCAGUAAAUAGAAUUUAAUAAAUUCCCUAUCAUUAGGACCCAAAGCAUCUGCCUUCGCUAACUGAACCAAGGCCUUAUUGGCACAACUCAAGUUCUUUUAAUUUAUAAUGAGCCGAGUAAACAUAUUACGUCUUUUAAGAAGACUAUAUCAAACUUUUAAAUUAAUAUUAGAUAUCGUUUAAUCAAAUAUAUCUCAUAAAACUAACAAAUCUUUUUCCAACAAUGACAAAAUUAAUAUUUUACCCUAAUUUGAAAUAUCUAUGCAAUACUUUUCCCCUCAUUUGAAAUUUUGCAUGCUUCUACCAAUCUUUUAACAAGACAAUAUCAAGAUAUCGUUUAAUCAAAUAUAUCUCAUAAAAUUAACAAAUAUUUUUCCAAUGAUGAAAAAAUUAAUAUUUUUCCCUAGUUUGAAAUAUAUAUAUAUAUAUAUAUAUAUGCAAUACUUUUCCCCUCAUUUGAAAUUUUGCAUGCUUCUACCAAUCUUCCUCAAAAGUCAAAGACCCUCAUCUAUGAAUACAUUAUGUUGUAACGUACCGUAACUUGUGAGGCAGUUCUAUUAUUGGUUUCUACGUUUUUUUUUUUUUUGUUUUAGAGAGAGGAAAGAACAUUAAUGUAAAACAUGAUCAAUUUUCCAAGAUGUAGAUAUGAAUGUUGAGUCAAACUGGUUGAUUUCCAAUUUCUGUAAAUUAGGGUGUUAAAGAAAUUGAUUUAGUCAUUGUAAUAAAUAUCAUAAAUUGCGGAGACUAAGGAAAAUCCAAUAAAACUCUGAAGAAAUUCAAUAAAAAUUUCCAAAUUUUGGAAAAAGGAUCUUAAAAUAUUAUAAAAAUUAAAAAUAUAUAUUAGAUUUUUUUAAUAAAACGAGUUUAUCAGUUAACAAUUCAAAAACAAUAAAAUUUCCUCUUUCUUUCUUUCUUUUUUUUGCAAAAAUAUAAAAAUAUAAAAACUCAAAAAAAUUCAUUAAAAAUUAUAACAAAAAGAUAUAUAUUUAUUAGAAAAUUAAAAAAAAAAUAUUAAUUAACAGUUCAUUAUAUAAAAGAGUUUUUUUUUCUGACACUUCUCUUUUGUAAGUUUUAUUAGAAAAUUCGUCUUUCUACAAAUUCUUUUAAAGUGAUAUUAUACCAUUUAAAAAAACAUUUCAAAAAAAUCUUUUCCUUAAUGACUUUUGAUGAAUAUUAUUGUUUUUCAUUUUAAAUAAAUUUGUUUUUAUAAUUUUUAAUGGAUUUCAUGAAUUUUUUUAUUUUUUGUAUUUUUUUGAUGUUUUGAAAAAAUAUUUAUUUUUACCUUUUUUUAAUGAUAAGAUGUCAUGUUAUUAUUUACCGAAUGUGCAUGAGACUUAUGCACCGAUAGUGUAUCAAAUAUUUUCCCAUAAAAUAAAUAAAAGACAAUUAGAAUUCAAAAAGAAAAAAAACUAAAAAAUAAAUAAAUUAUAAAAUAAAGAAAAUUGUUUGUUUAUGUUUUUUUUUUCAAAAUUGUAAUUAUACUUAAUUUAAUUAAAUUAGAAAAGUUAUUAGAUGUAAAUGAGUGUAUAAUAUGCUUUGGAUGUAUUUAAAAAUUAAGGUUGUCACACUAUUUUAUUGGUGUCUAAAAAUCAUAGAUUUUAGGAUCAUACUAUAUUAUUUAUUAAGCCACUAACCGAGUUGGUGUCACCCUCAAACGGGUCACCAAUUCGGUCAAAAAAUUACGGAAAUGCCCAGUAAUUAAAAAAAAUAUUAUUCAAACGUAUUUUAGCCUUUUCAUAUUAACAAAAACCAAUUAAAAUAUGCACUAAUUAGAUUUGUAAAAUAUUAAAUUUAUCACUCAACUAAAACUUUAUUUUAAUUUGUUUCAUAUUUUUUAUUUUAAUAUACGCAAUUUAUUGUCUACAUUAAUUGUAUAAUUAGUUUCACACCAUACAUUUCAUUAUUUAUUGUAUAUUACUUUUUAACAAGCAUUUGUGUUUUAAAUAUGUGGUUUACACAUGCAUACGCAUGUGAUAAAAUUUUUAAUUUUUUACAGAAUUUCUAUGACUAUUAAUAAUCCACCUGAACCCUUAAAACAAAGGAUAAUAUAUUUUUAAACUCACUCAAACCCAUAUUUUUUUAAAUAUUGUAAUAACAACUAUGUCAACUAAAUUGAAAGUAAAUUAUCAUUUUUGUAGCAAAUAGGAAAAAAUAUUAAUUUCAUGAUAUAAAUUUAAUUAAAUGAUGUGACUUUUUUUUUUUAGAAAAAUAAAAUGUAGUGUUUUCUAGACACAUGACAUGGUCAAUCUAUCUCAUUUAAUUUGUGAAUAUGUUAUUGAUUAGAUUGAAUGCAACAAUUCAAAAUUUUUUUAAAGUGUUACAAGUAAAAUGAUAAGUAUACAUUCGAGGAACCACAAAUAUCAAACUAUAACAAUAUGUAUUGUUCGAGGAAUCACAAAUUAAAAUUAAAUUUAAAUCAUUACAACACAACGGAAUAAGAACUUGUACAAUCUAGACUAAAGGCAACAAACUAUACUAAAACUCACAUAUGAUGAUAAAAAUUAAGCGUAGAACCUGAACCCAAUAUGAUUUAAACUCGAAUUAAAAGCCCGAAACUCGUAAUUCCCUUCAUAAUCCCGUUUAGAAAUUGAUACGACCCCGCCCCGGGAACGCUCUUGGACUAGCUCCCAAAGUGUUGCUCACAAUCCAUUGCGAGUUGAAGUAGUUCGAUCCCAGCUGGUUGAGCUUAAUUUAGCUCAAAUCUUAGCUCAAUGAGCUCGAACCAGCUCAUUUUCAGUUCAUUUUUAAUUUAUGUUUUUAUAUAGAUGCUGGAAUAAAAUUAAGUGCGUUGGUUUAAUUAGUUAUUCAGUUUAAAUAAUUAAUUUGUCAUAAUCUAGACAUAAUAAUUAAAUUAAGUGUUUAAUUAUGCUUUUAAUUAAUUAUGAGUGUUUUAAAUAUGUGCUAAGCUAUUACAAAGAAUUAAUAUGUUUUGUCGAAUUUAAUGUGCAGAAUUUUAAUGUUAUUUGCUGCCAAAUUUAUUGUGUCUAAAAUGCAUUUGAUUAGUUUGCUGCAGGUACACUACACUUGGACGUUUUAGGUGCAUGAAUGGAAUUAAAAGAAGAUACAUGCAAGGGACGACAGAUGCAUGUUUGGGGAAUUAAAGUUAGCUGCUGUUUGAAGUCUUUUAGGUGACCAUUCAGUCAAGGGAGCUGUUGUUUGAAGUCUUUUAGGUGACCAUUCAGCCAAGGGAGCUGCUGUUUCAUGCUUCCAAGAUGUCCAUUCGGCUGAACUUAUUUCAUUCACAUUGCUGGACAUAUUUUCACAUGUAUUGGCUGUUCAUUUUCAAGCUUUCACACCUUAAAGGACUGCUCAGUAUCUCCUUAAUUACUGGUCACUUUUCAGCAAUAGUUGCAACUUAAAUAAGCUCCUUUAUGCACAUCAACCGAAUCUAUCUGCUGCCAUGCAUUUUCCAAGCUUCCAAGUAUAUUGGUUAUUCUAGAAGCUGACCAUUGGAGCUCCCUAUUCAGCUGAACCUUACCAGCAAAAUUAAAUGAAUUUUUAAGAAAAACAUUUGACUAUUCAGCUAGCUUAGUCCUUGCUUAUAAAUAGUUGAAAAUUUCAUUUUAUAAAGGACUUUUAAACCUUAAUGAAUUGCUGUCAAUUUGUGGAGAGAUUUCUUCUCUUAAAUUUCGUCCAAAAACUUUAUUGACUUAUCUAACUAGUUAGUGACGUCAACCCAUUUUUGUUCAACCGAACUUAUCACGAUUUCGGUGGUGUUCAUCCUAAAUUAUACCAAGGUUCCUAUCUAUUAUAGAUAGUGGGUCGAGGUUUCCCUAUCCAUCUCAUAAACAACUUUAGAACCUAUAAGUUUCAGGUCAACCUUCAAUUGAAGUGUUGGUUCACUCUUGUUCUUAAGUUACCAUUUUAAUUCUAAUUACCGAGUUUUCUUUUAUUUUACAACCAAGCCUCAAUAAUUCGAUUAGCCAUCUUAUUCUUAAGCCUAUCCUUGACACCCUUAAACCACAUUUAGCCUAACAUCCGACUUCAUUCCAUCUCAAAUGAUUCUUUUUUGUUUUAACGAUUGGGCAACUAUACGACUCGGAUUAAUCAACGAGGCCGGGGCGUAUCAGAAAUUUUGUUCGCAUAGUCUUUACUAAAACGGUCAUAACUUGAGCUCCCAAACUUAAAAUCGAGUGAUUCAAAGUGCGUUUCGAAGCUAAUAGAUAGAUCUUCGAACGCCAUGAAGAUAUCUUAACCAAGAAAUGCUUGGAUCCCAUCCAAAAAGUCGUUGCAAGUCUCAUGAUAUCCCAAAAUUGAGAAUUGACAGCUUCAGUAAAUGGAAUUUAAUAAAUUCCCUAUCAUUAGGACCCAAAGCAUCUGCCUUCGCUAACUGAACCAAGGCCUUAUUGGCACAACUCAAGUUCUUUUAAUUUAUAAUGAGCCGAGUAAACAUAUUACGUCUUUUAAGAAGACUAUAUCAAACUUUUAAAUUAAUAUUAGAUAUCGUUUAAUCAAAUAUAUCUCAUAAAACUAACAAAUCUUUUUCCAACAAUGACAAAAUUAAUAUUUUACCCUAAUUUGAAAUAUCUAUGCAAUACUUUUCCCCUCAUUUGAAAUUUUGCAUGCUUCUACCAAUCUUUUAACAAGGCAAUAUCAAGAUAUCGUUUAAUCAAAUAUAUCUCAUAAAAUUAACAAAUACUUUUUCAAUGAUGAAAAAAUUAAUAUUUUUACCUAGUUUGAAAUAUAUAUAUAUGCAAUACUUUUCCCCUCAUUUGAAAUUUUGCAUGCUUCUACCAAUCUUCCUCAAAAGUCAAAGACCCUCAUCUAUAUAUACAUAUUAUGUUCUAACAUAACGUUGCCUGUGAGGCAGUUUUAUUACUGGUUUCUACGUAGUUUUUUUGUUUUAGAGAGAGGAAAGAACAUUAAUGGGAAAGAGUGAGGUGAAGCUUUUAGGUGCUUGGCCAAGCCCCUUUAUGUUGAGGGUGAGAAUUGCUCUUCACCUCAAAUCUAUCAACUACGAGUUCAUUGAGGUAGAUUUAUUGGGACCCAAAAGUGAGUUGGUUCUUAAAUCCAACCCUAUUUAUAAGAAAAUCCCAGUCCUGUUUCAUGAUGGUAACACCAUCCUUGAGUCUCAAAUCAUUG
rnacentral:lncRNA from 1 species